ensembl:snoRNA SNORA72 Small nucleolar RNA SNORA72
UUGUGAAUGUUCUCACUGUUCUGAUUUUUGUAAUAAUUAGAACAGGUUAAACAUUUGCUAUAUUAAGUCCAUACAUGUGUCCCCAGACCUAAUUCUUUCCCUGGUUCUGAUUUUAUAAAUGCUGGUGAUAAAC